UACGUAGGGGCCUAGCGUUGUCCGGAAUUAUUGGGCGUAAAGAGCUCGUAGGCGGUUCGGCAAGUCGGAUGUGAAAUCUCCACGCUCAACGUGGAGGGGCCAUUCGAAACUGCCGUGACUCGAGUCCGGUAGGGGAGUGUGGAAUUCCCGGUGUAGCGGUGAAAUGCGCAGAUAUCGGGAGGAACACCAGUAGCGAAGGCGGCUCACUGGACCGGUAUUGACGCUGAGGUGCGAAAGCGUGGGGAGCAAACAGG
rnacentral:rRNA from 1 species